AACCGUACCCCAAACCGACACAGGUGUUCGGGUAGAGAAUACCAAGGCGCUUGAGAGAACUCGGGUGAAGGAACUAGGCAAAAUGGCACCGUAACUUCGGGAGAAGGUGCGCCGGCUAGGGUGAAGGAUUUACUCCGUAAGCUCUGGCUGGUCGAAGAUACCAGGCCGCUGCGACUGUUUAUUAAAAACACAGCACUCUGCAAACACGAAAGUGGACGUAUAGGGUGUGACGCCUGCCCUGUGCCGGAAGGUUAAUUGAUGGGGUUAGCGCAAGCGAAGCUCU
rnacentral:rRNA from 1 species